GAUGAACGCUGGCGGCGUGCCUAACACAUGCAAGUCGAGCGAGAAGCUCAUGACGGAAUCUUCGGAGGACGGAUUGAGUGGAAAGCGGCGGACGGGUGAGUAACGCGUGGGUAACCUGCCCUGUACAGAGGAAUAGCCAUUGGAAACGAUGAUUAAUGCCUCAUAAGACUACAGUAUCGCAUGAUACAGUAGCCAAAAACUCCGGUGGUACAGGAUGGACCCGCGUUAGAUUAGCUAGUGUAAGUAAGCUUACCAAGACGAUCUAUAGCCGACUGAGAGGU
rnacentral:rRNA from 1 species